AGAUAAGUAUUUAAAUAUAUAAAAUCUAACCUGCAAUUAGAAAUUGCUCCUUGAGCCUUAUCUA
rnacentral:tRNA from 1 species